rnacentral:lncRNA from 1 species
GUGGAAUAUUUGAAAAACGACCAACUUCAAUUUGAAGCUUAUGAGCAGAAAUACGUAAUUUGCAUAUAGAUCUUCUAAAAUCAAAGAUAUGUGGAUAUGUAGGUCAGCGAGAACUGUUUGAAAUGAUGAUCCAGCUAGCAACUAGAGCAAGUUUUUUUUAAAGAAUGAUUGAUAUUUUGUUUUUAUCAAAUACGUAUUCUGGAUGGGUCUUCAUCAGUCCGGUAGUCAGCGCUUCUGUGAAAUAUAACGAUAUAAACGAUUAUUUUCUUCAUUCAUCAGUCAUAUUAUGUUGUAAAAUCGGUCGAAACAUCAUGGUUUUAUUGGCCAUAUGCGGAAAAUGAGCAAAACUUGUUGUUUAUAAAGGCCAGGCAUAAAAAGGGGAAACUUUUCAAACACAUCAACAUCAUGGUUUCAU